rnacentral:rRNA from 1 species
UACGUAGGGGGCGAGCGUUGUCCGGAGUUACUGGGCGUAAAGCGCACGCAGGCGGUCUGUUAAGUUUGGAGUGACAGUUGGUGGCUUAACUGCCAAAGUGCUUCGAAAACUGACAGACUUGAGGGCUUCAGAGGGACACGGAAUUCCGGGUGGAGUGGUGAAAUGCGUAGAUAUCUGGAAGAACACCAAUGGCGAAGGCAAUGUUCUGGCUCGUUUCUGACGCUCAGGUGCGAAAGCCAGGGGAGCGAACGGG